rnacentral:rRNA from 1 species
UACGAAGGGGGCUAGCGUUGUUCGGAUUUACUGGGCGUAAAGCGCACGUAGGCGGAUCUUUAAGUCAGAGGUGAAAUCCCAAGGCUCAACCUUGGAACUGCCUUUGAUACUGGGGAUCUUGAGUCCGGGAGAGGUGAGUGGAACUGCGAGUGUAGAGGUGAAAUUCGUAGAUAUUCGCAAGAACACCAGUGGCGAAGGCGGCUCACUGGCCCGGUACUGACGCUGAGAUACGAAAGCGUGGGGAGCAAACAGG